GGAAGCGUGGCCGAGUGGUUUAAGGCACUGGUCUUGAAAACCAGCGAUGRGGGAACCCAUCCGUGAGUUCGAAUCUCACCGCUUCCGCCA
rnacentral:tRNA from 1 species